rfam:Otolemur garnettii contig055028, whole genome shotgun sequence.
GCGCCUGUGGCUCAAAGGAGUAGGGCGCCAGCCCUGUAUGCCGGAGGUGGCAGGUUCAAACCUGGCCCUGGCCCA